GGAAAGAAAUGCUAAGUCUUCAGCCACAGAUCGAAUGAAUGAAUGAAUCAAUGAAUGAAUGAAUGUGGGGAACUGGCAAGACGCGUGCUCUUCUUCCUCUGCGAUUAUGCACCGUGCUUGCUGAAAGGCAACAGCGAACUAGUCAUCUACUAAGCAUACAGGUGUCGAUUAAUUCAAGUUGUGGACGUUUCAGCAUCAUCGUUCUCCACUAGCUGCAUUCCGCUGUUUAGAGUGAAGCCGCAGAUUGUAAGCCACUGAACUGAAAAGCGGAAGUAGCACUGAAAACUGUACCUUGCGGGUCCCCCUCCCUCCCCCAGGGGUGGAACGGUGGUGCAGUGGUUGGCACUGUUGCCUCACACUUCUGAGAUCAGGGUUCAUGUUUCCACCAAUGGCUCCACAUGUGCAGAGUUUGCAUGUUCUCCCCAUGUUGUCAUGGGGAUUCCUCCAGAUACUACAGUUACACCCCGCCCCUUCUACCACCACAGUCUAAAAUCAUGCUGAGGCUAAUUGGAGCUGCCAUAGGUGUGUGUGUGUGUGUGUGUGUGUGUGUGUGUGUGUGUGUGUGUGUGUGUGUGUGUGUGUGUGUGUGCGUGUGCUCUGCAAUGGGUUGGCGCCCCAUCCUGUGUUGUUCCCUUGUGCCCAUAAGCUCCAGACCCCCCAUGACCCUGAACAGGAAGGAUAUGCCAUUACUGAAACUGAAUGGAGAGAUGGAUGGACUUGCUUGCCUGCUCCCCCCACCACCACCACCCAUCUUCAGCCAGUCAUACUGAGGGAGACCCAGCACCUGUCUCCAUGUUUCCUAUACAUACAAGUUUGGUCUAAAAUUAACUUAAAUUCGUAUUAAAUCAGACUACAGGCAGCUGUUCCAUUUUUUUGUCAAUUAAAAGGAUACCUGUAUAUAUCUCUGCAUAAGAAAACAGAUGUUUUUAUCAUUUAUUUUUUGGCAAAGAUUUGAAAAGUGGGAAUGAAAAAGCUUAUUGAUGCAAAUCCAAUUAAAGAAUCACCUGAAAUAACCUGACAGAUAUACUGUAGUACAUUGUCACUUUUUUGAUAUGUGAAAAGUGUGGCGAUGCACCACAAACAAUUCUAUCUGGUCACUGAAAUAUACAGUAGAAAUAUUAAUCUGUCCAGUUUUUCAGUAUGAUCAGUGCACUGGCACUGGUGACUGUGUGCGCUGCGUGCCGAAAUGUACACAGAGCAGUGAAACACGUGCCCCGUGAACUACCAGCUUAUCUUGGCGUAAAGGUGACACCGUUUGGUGUCACUUAAAAUGAAAUCUCUGGAUUUCAUCACUCAGUUAAUAACAGUGAAGCAGUCUGCAGUGUCGAGUCUCAAAAAUGUAUAAAAAUGUGGGCAGGGAAAGACGCUUUAGCUGUUCUACGUCGAGACAAAACUAUGCCAGGAUUUGAAUGAUACAAUUCAAUAAGUACUCACCAAAGUGCCCCAAAGCAAACAGAACCCAUCAUGAAUGUGUAUAAGUAGAUGUUUACUAGCUUUCCUGGAGACCUAUUGUAUGGGCUGUCAGUGAAACCACAGCAUCUGCAGUUGUUCUCAAGUUCAGCAGAUCAGUUAUCUUUAAUAUGUAUGAGAAUGAUUAAUGGCAUUUUAUGUCUGUGCAUCUGUUAAGAAGGUUGCAUAAACCAAAUUACACAUAAAGUAUAUCAUAAAUGCCUCUAUGUGAAUUGAUUCAUGCAAAGCCCCCCGGUCCUUUUCACAGUCAUGAUAUUUUUUCUUGACUGGUGGCAGCCUGGCUUGAAACUGGAUGUGUUUCAUGUCUGUCACUAUAGUGAGUCUUUGUUCAGUCUUUUAUAUAUCAGACCCACACCGGAAUCGUGAAUUCAGGCCCUCUGUAGAGUUUGAACUUCAAAGUGGUCAGUAAGCUAAUAAAAGUCAAGCCUGGUACACUCAGCCGUCAAAUAUAGCACUGCUGAAGUGGAAAGCAAACGUAACGGAUGAUAUCAGUAUUGAAAAUGAAUUUGUGGAGGAAUUUCA